rnacentral:rRNA from 1 species
GUGAGGAAUAUUGGUCAAUGGGCGCAAGCCUGAACCAGCCAUCCCGCGUGCAGGAAGACGGCCCUAUGGGUUGUAAACUGCUUUUCUGAAGGAAGAAUAACUCUGAGUUUCUCAGGGGACGACGGUACUUCAGGAAUAAGCAUCGGCUAACUCCGUGCCAGCAGCCGCGGUAAUACGGAGGAUGCAAGCGUUAUCCGGAUUCAUUGGGUUUAAAGGGUGCGUAGGCGGGCUAAUAAGUCAGUGGUGAAAUCUCUCGGCUCAACCGGGAAACUGCCAUUGAUACUGUUAGUCUUGAGUUCGGCUGAGGUAGGCGGAAUGUGUAAUGUAGCGGUGAAAUGCUUAGAUAUUACACAGAACACCAAUUGCGUAGGCAGCUUACUAGACCGACACUGACGCUGAGGCACGAAAGCGUGGGGAGCGAACAGGAUUAGAUACCCUAGUAGUCC